rnacentral:rRNA from 1 species
CAGCUGCGAUAAGUAGUGUGAAUUGCAGAACUCAGCGAAUCAUCGAAUCUUUGAACGCAAAUGGCGCUCCCUGGUUCUCCAGGGAGCAUGUCUGUCUGAGCGUCAUGUCAAGAACCUACACACACUUGUGCUCUGUGUACAAGUGUGUGGCGUUGAGACAACACAGCCACUCACAGCUAGUGCGUGACUGCGUGUCUUGAAGUGAAGUAUCACGGCUCCAAACUCGUGCAGUCGAGUGAGAGCAGCAAAACGUACUGCUGUUUACAGCACACAUACUGUCUGCCUCUCCUUGCAACGGCGAGCCUUUGAGGAAGUGAUAAUCAUUUUGAUUCAUUUUAUCAUUUUGAUGAUUGAUUCAAAAAAGUUACUAUUGGAUAACAACAAUAGCAACAAUUGUGAUUUUGACCUCAGAUCAGGCAAGACUACCCGCUGAAUUUAA